UUGCUUUGUGAUAACAAGCAAGAGAGCCUCUCUUUUUUUGUGUGUGUGGGUGGCGGUACCAUUGGUCGUUUUUAAGUGAAUUUAUGGCGGGUUUUCAAGGCAGACAGGAAGGAGAUAUGGGUUUCUUAGGAGCUUGGUAGCUUGCUCCCAUGGCCUUAUCAUUCUCUAGAAGGGAUGGGAAAUGCCAACCAAUGAGGAGGAAAAGCCCUUGGGGGAGUAGGGUUCAAGUGUGGGAGGAUAGCAACAAGCAUAGGUUCACAGAAUCCAAAGGAACCGAUUCUCUCUCGAUCUAUUACACCGUUGAUACCUAUGGUGUCUCGGUAGCUGUACUUUUUUUUUUUUUCCUUCUGUUUUUUGAUUUUUGUUUCUUUCAACUUUUGAAGGCAGAAAGUGAGGGAACACUCAACUAAAUAUGGGUCAUGUGCCAGAUUUCUGCAAUGGAAUUGGAUUUUGGAAGUCGGACUCAGUUAGUAGGUCAUGGGUCACGGAGGUCAAUUGCAAGUCUUUCAAGUCAUGGGUCGCCCAGCACCUCAUAAUUAUGAUAUGACUAAUUAGAUUUGCCUAAAUUCUUAUCCAAAAAUAUGGUAAAGUUUCUAUUUACUUGUAUACCUUUAUAAAAAUUUCUAUUUGCACGCCUAUCCAUUAAGAAUAUUUUAGACAUUUUAAUUUAAAACUGUUAAUUUUUUAACGAUGUUAGAUGGCAUGGGUACAUAUGCAAAAAUAAGAAUAAAAAAAGGUAGAAUAGCAAAAUAAAUAUUUUAUGAAGGUAUA
rnacentral:lncRNA from 1 species